CCUGCUCUAUGAAUAUUUCAAUAGCCGCUUUCUUAAGUGCUAAGGUAGCAUAAUCAUUUGUCUUUUAAUUUGAGAAUAGAAUGAAUGGACACACGAGUUAAAAACUCUAUCUAGAAUAUAAUAUUAAUCUUAUAUAGAAGUAAAAAAGCUUCUACAAAAAGAGAAGACGACAAGACCCUUUAGAACUUAACUAAAAGUUGAGCUGGGGUGGCAAACUAUAAAAACUAAUAUAUCUCUCCCAAACAACUCCAAAUAAAAUAUAAAAAGUUACCUAAGGGAUAACAGCACAAUUUAAUAUAAAAGUUCUUAUUUAAUAUUAAGAUUGUGACCUCGAUGUUGAAUUACUAACCUCAAGAUAGAAAGUUAUCUUAAAGUAAGUCUGUUCGACUUUUAAAAUAGUACAU
rnacentral:rRNA from 1 species